AUGUGAUUUGAAGGACUAAUUGUCUAUAUGUUUAUUAAUAGUAAAGUGGUGUAUCUAAAGUAUUUCAUUGUUUUAGUAAAAUUUUGGAAAAGAUUUUUUUUUGAUAUAGGGUAUUAGUAUUGUGAAAGAAUAUUUGUUUUAAUGAAAAAGAAGGGUUUAUUUUUCGUACCUUGUGUAUCAGGGUUUAUCUAAAAUGGGUUAAAGAGUUUAAUUUUCCCGAAUUUAAAAGAGUUACCUUUUUAUUUCUUUUAUUGUGGUAAAAAUAUUGUUAAUAUUAAGGUAGGGAUGAAAUGUCAGUCGGUUUUAAAUAUAUCUGGUUUUUUAAGAAAAAAAUUUAAUUUUUUUUUAUUUUAGUAAAUUUUUACUUUGUUAGGAAUUUAUUAGAUAAAGGUAAUAAUUUAUGGGUUGAGCUUUAAGUUAAAAUUAUAUAAUAGGGGUUAUUUAUAUAAUAAAUAUGUAGGAUUUAAAGUUUCUGCCUAAGUGAUUUAUAUCUUGAUUUAUUUAAUAAUAAGAUUUAUUAAUGUUAUUUAUGUUUUUUAUUAAAAUUUAGAUUAGAAUCUAAAUGGUUUAGUAAAAAUGAUAAAAUUAGUAUAUUUGGAUUUAAGGGUUUUAAUUAGUUAAAGGCUUAUUUAAGGAAUUCGGCAAAUUAUUUUCCCACCUGUUUAUUAAAAACAUGGCUUUUUGAGUAUAAUUUAAGGUCUAACCUGCCCAAUGAUUUAGUAUUAAAUGGCCGCGGUAUACUGACCGUGCAAAGGUAGCAUAAUCAUUAGUUUUUUAAUUGAAAGCUUGUAUGAAAGGUUGAAUGAGGAAAUUACUGUCUCAAGUAAGAUUUAUUAGAAUUUUAUUAGUUUGUAAAAAGGCAAAGAUUUAUAUAAAAGACGAGAAGACCCUAUAGAGUUUUAUAAUUUAGGCAGAAAGGGUAAUUGGAAUAUUUUUUUUUAUUUGUUUAAUUUAUUUGGUUGGGGUGAUUAAAUAAUUUAAUAAACUUUUUUUGUUUGUUUUCACAGAUAUGUGAGUAUUUGAUCCUUAGUAAAGAUUAAAAGAAAAAAUUACCUUAGGGAUAACAGCGUAAUUUUCUUAGAGAGUUCUUAUCGAAAGGAGAGUUUGCGACCUCGAUGUUGGAUUAAAAUUAAGGUUUGGUGUAGAAGCUAGACUAUUAGGUCUGUUCGACCUUUAAAAUUUUACAUGAUCUGAGUUUAGACCGGCGUGAGCCAGGUUGGUUUCUAUCUUUAUAAAGCUAAUAUUUUUUAGUACGAAAGGACCAAAAAUAUACUAAAUUAGUUUAUUUUUGAAUAUUAUUGUUGCUUUGGCAGAAUAGUGUAAUAGAUUUAGGAUCUUUUUAUGUAGUGGGGAAUUACAA
rnacentral:rRNA from 1 species